ACAAAACGCACGACACAAAUACUAAAAACGAAUAUGAAUGAUAUGAAUAAUUCCUUAUUGGACACACUGCGUUGCUUGGGCUCGUUUAUUUUUCCAGUUUGUUAUUCGAGGAUCGCAUAUAUUACUCAUAGUACAGAUUUAAAUAUACGCUUCAUUACUCAGUAUUUCACAUGCUUCCUGUUUUGAGUAGCUGCGGGGCCGAGGCUUGCUGCAGCCAGGUGUGCUGCAUCCAUUUACUCUAAAUCGGCACGCUGUACUCCUCUGGGUCGGGUUCAUUCACGGAGAUAUUCUCUCCCAGCAUCGGGGUUGUUGCAUAUACACGUAUUCUUUUCAUGCAGUUAUAACCAGCGUUUCCGAGCUCAUCAGCAAUGACCUGUUACUGCUGAUCCAUCGAGGUGCUAACUUGAACGCUGCAGAUUCCUGGUAGCUCUGAGUGUUAUAAGAGUUUAAACACUUGUGCAGUUAAACCUGACAGGGACCAAAGCAGGCUGUUCCCGAGCCCCCCCGUCCAGUAUUUAUUUAAAACUCAGAUGUUUAUUCUGGCGUGCAGCGGCUGAGGAGGGUCCUGUGAGACGAGCAGCUCAUCUUCCCUGCUUUCCAGCAGCUCCUGACGAUCAACGUCUGACCCCCGAGCAGCCCCUUACGGCUACUGGAGACCUGUAUGUUCUGACAUUUCAUCCUGGAAGUCUAAUGAACUUGAACCUGCUCAGCACACUCAAGGGAAGAUAUGAGUGACUAAAGUGCUUAGAAAGUGCUCCUAAAAUAUUUUGUGCAACCGUUUUGUCCAUUUGCAGUACGUGAACGAACGAGGGCCAACAAGCCUGGGUUACUGUGAUACGUCUGCAUACUGAUUGCAGAGUACAUGUUAAGUGCCAGAGUUAAUUCUCAAAUUCUCAGACUGCCAGCUAACAGUGCUAAUAAUAGAGACCAUCAUCUGAGCUGUGAGUGUUUAGAAAACCCCCAGUGCUCAGGGCACAGGUGUCUGUGUGACACACCAGGUGAUGCUCUGUGGUGGAGGUACGCUCACAGGAUGCUGAAAGACAGUUCCGGAACAUGCCAGGCUGCACUACAGCAGCCCCUGUGAUCAAUGCAUUCUCUGUCUCCCGAGGCAGCAGUAUGAAGCAGGAUCGCCACUUCUUGGUCUCUGUCAGUUUAUAGGACUGGUUGGAUGUCCUGAAUACAAGAAAGCAGGUUUCAUAGCUUCAGUCACAGGGCAGGUGGAGUCUACGUGAAAAGACUCAGCAAAGGUUAUUGAUGUGCUGUACUGGACUGCAAAAUAACAAGUACAGAAUUACACUCCUACCCCAAUGAAGGAAUAUGAGGUUUCAUUGUUGUGCUUUACCGAGAAAAUGGAGAAAGUAACCACUUAUGCAUAACCAUAAGUUGCAAUCAUGGAUAAAGCCUGAGCCAAAACAGUAUAUUAAAAAAGCAUGGUACCUCUGUAAAAUACACAAACAUAUGACUUUUCUGUUAUGCGGUUGCAGUUGAAAGGAUGUAUUUUCUGCAUGUUCCUAUAGCUAUCCUAUAUGGAGGUAUUUCCCCUCCCUUUGGAAUAGAGCAGUACUAGAGACAGCAACACUCACUACAAUAUGGCUUUUUGUGUUGGCCCAGGGAUUGCAAAAGGAAGGAAAAUAUCGGAUUCUCCUCCUCGCUCCUCUUUCACGCGAUCCAGCUGAAGAUCAGGAAGUCACAUGAGCUCCGAACAAUGUGGAGAAUGGGACCGAUGUGAAGCCGAGGAAUUCGCUUUUUCCCUGGUGAAUUUCGCAAAGGCCCAGAUGUUGACGGACAUGCCGCAGAGCCGAACAGAAGUCGGAGGUUUGCGGAAGAUUAUUUACAUUUAAAAGGUUCUCCGAACAAACGUGUGGAUGUCCCGCCAAGGCCAUGACUAGAUUGUUAUCCAUUCGUGAGCUGAUCUGUCGAUUCCCGCUUUCAUACACUUUGAUUUAGGUCACAGCUCCGCUUUCAUGCGGGCUGCCAGUUAAAGGCAGUGGUUAUCCAUGAUGUGAUGCAAUAAACAAAAGGAAAGUGCUUGGGAUCCUUUCACUUGUUUUCCCAGUGCAUUCCUUGUUCAGUUACUGUGUUAUUGCUCGGCCUUUCUGAUCUCAUUUGUCAAACUAGAAGACUACAAAAUGACUUGUAGUUUAUAAACUAUUACUGGGAAGACAAAAGGAGCAUUCCUAUCCGAUCUUUAUAAAAAGCAGUAAUAAUAAUGAUAACAAUGAUUUCAACUUCAUGUUGCACAAAUAUAUUUCUUGACCUCAGGGAAGAUAAUGCAGAGAUUGCACCUUUUUAUUUUCUAUAGAUCUAGAAAGAACUAAGAACUGUUAAUCCAAUGAAUGGAAAGAAGCUGUUGUUGUUCUUUAAUGUGCAGUUGUUUUACUCUUCCAUAGUUAUGCAUUCUCAGAUGUGUCCCGGUGGAGUCUGUACCCAGGCUUAGCAAUUCUAACGAUGAUUUAUAUUUACGGAAGCACUGAAACGUUUCAGCAGCAUGGUAGGUGCAUCCCAGCUGGGGUAACAUCUUGUUUUAGCAUGUGAGGUCCAAAGAAUGAAAACAAAGACAGAAUCUCAGAUGACUCAUCCCAGAGAGCGCUGGCCCAGGGCAGAUGUCAAGGUGCAGAGCUGGGGUUUGUGAAGCAAAGAGUCAUAUCACUGACAGCUUUUUAUUUUCAUUUUCACGCUAUUGUUUUCUGUUUUGAUUAAAAUCCCUUUUAGUUUUGAAUAUCUAGACAGACAGGCUAUCAUAUAUAUAUAUAUACACACACACGCGCGCACACACACGCACACGCACACACAGACGUGCACAAUGAAGUUCUUCAGGACCAUGUUUUGAUGUUAUUAAUCUUACACGUUUAUUUAGUUCAUGUCAAAUAUAUUCUGCUCUUCUACAGCUUGCAGUACUGUGCACUCAACGGCCACACUUUAGUUUUAGGUUCCAUUUAUAAAACACCUAUGUGUGUGCUAUUAAAGGUUCUGACGGUUAUAAACAAUGACUAUAAAGUUAUUACAAAAACAUUUCAAUGACCGACGCCAUUGCUUCAUAUCAUGUUAUAAAGUAAUUGUAAGUUCUUAUAACACAUUCUUAGAACACAGCCAUCACAUGUCAUUAUUACCAAGAACUGCCUACUGUUGUUUAUAACACAUGUAGAAAUACUAAAUUAAUAGGAAGUGCAGAUUUUCAGUAGAAAACUGUGAAUUUGAGAACAAAUUACUGUUCCGUGGAGUUAAUUCUUAGCCUCCCAUAAUUUAUUAAAUGAUAUAGCCAUGCAAGCAACAAAUAAACCAAGAUUUGCAUUUUUUUACAUGUGCCUGAGAGAGGCUGUCGGAAGGUAGGCCUGACCCACGAAACAAGCCCCUCUCCCCCCUCCGCCCCCCCCCCCCCCUCGUCCCCACUGCUUUGUGGACAGAGUCUGUCGAGGUGAUGGAUGGAGAGAAGAAGGCAGAAAGAAACCAGGAUGCACCUCCAUAUCAGAUCAUGUACGAGGUGAGCGACAUGACUGAAGGGAAUCUGAAGAAUUUUAUACCCAAAGAUAAGCAAACAAUUGAGGGCCGUGGUUUAGGUUAUUCCUCCUGCAAACGUCAGCAGCUUCUUAAGCAGAUUUGACCGUUUUUUUAAGGAACGAUCCUUAAUCAGGAAAUAUGUAUUUAUAUAUAUAUCAUUAGUCCGCUAUUUGCUUUUGCAAAGCAAGUGUUGAGCUCUUGUCUUGUAUCAGCGCUGACCAUCAGUGUAACACUUAGAUAUUCAAACCAUGCCACUGUUUCCAUGUGUUCAGCAUUCAGCAGAGUGGAGCUCCUCAGAGUUCUGAUCUGAUCUCCAUGUGACACUCCACUUCUCUAGACUGUUUCUACUGCUGGUGUCCUGUUAUCAGAUGUCCUGCGAGAUAAUGGCAAACCCCUCUUUAAUAAUAUAUCACAUUUAACUGGGGCACGUCAUUUCAGUUUAAACUGUUGUAUACAAUAUCAAGGUAGAAAGGCAUUAUAAAUAUAGAGGGACAUUUGAACUGUGUCCCAACUCAGUCUGUAAAGAAGUAGUGUGUUGUUAUUAUUGUAAACAGAAAAGUAGACUUGAGCCUGAGAUGAAAUGCCAGCAGGGAUCCCUGAACCCCCACAGCUUUAAAUUCAAACCUUCUUCCUGUAAAUGCACAUAUAUAGAAACACACAUGCAUACCUAUCCCUACACACGUACAAGAUGGCCCCAGAAUUUACAGAAGAACCACAGUGAACGAAUCUGUAUCUUGACACUUGUGCACACACUAUAAGUGUUCUUAACACUGAGGUUUAUACUUAAAGUUCCAAUUAUAUUUGCACAGUAAAAAAAAAAUGAAGGGAAAACACAUCAAAUAUGAAAAGUAACAUUUUUAUUAAUAGAAAAAUCAGUAUUGUUCUUAAUAUUUUAGGAAUCUUUACAGUGUCGCUAUGUAUUGGAGCUGGUUUAUUUAUUUAUUUUUAAUACUUUAUUUAAUCACAUAAUAUUUUGUUUGGGGGAUUUCAUUAAUAGUUGAAAAGUAGUGGUUAGGGCUCUGGACUCUUGACCGGAGGGUCGUGGGUUCAAUCCCAGGUGGGGGACACUGCUGCUGUAGCCUUGAGCAAGGUAAAAACCCAACUGUAUAAAUGGGAAUUGUAUGUAAAAAUAAUGUGUAAAAAAUAGGAUAUAGGAGGCUGUGUGGUCCAGUGGUUAAAGAAACUGGCUUGUAACCAGGAGGUCCCCGCUUCAAAUCCUACCUCAGCCACUGACUCAUUGUGUGACCCUGAGCAAGUCACUUAACCUCCUUGUGCUCUGUCUUUCAGGUGAGACGUAGUUGUAAGCGACUCAGCAGCUGAUGCAUAGUUCACACACCCUAGUCUCUGUAAGUCGCCUUGGAUAAAGGCGUCUGCUAAAUAAACAAAUAACAAUAAUAAUAAUAUAAAAAUAAUGUGAUGUCUUGUAACAAUUGUAAGUUGACCUGGAUAAGGGCGUCUGCUAAGAAAUAAAUAAUAAUAACAAUAAUAAUAAUAUUCCCCCAUGUAUAAUUAUGUAAUUACCCUUAAUGUUGGCAAAACCACGAGAAGAUCAUCCUAAACAGAUGAUACAUUUGGGACUGAUUUCCUCCAAGGUUAAUAAGGUGUGACAGGUAUAAAGUGAAUCUUUAAUAUAAGGCUAUUAUUACAGUGAGAUAUAUGUGCACUCAGUCUCUCCCAUCCUGAUGUGACUUCUCUGUUUAACUAAUGCCAUGAGAGUGCCUCGGCAGAAUGUCCUGAUGCGGGUAGAAUAUAAAUAACCACUGAGCUUGACUUCACCCAUAUAGUAAUGGGCUGCUUUUGCUGUUUGCUUCAAGGCUGUCUGUCUGCACUAAUAAUUCAUUUUUAACCUCUUCACAUAUGGGAUUCGUUAAUGGGACAGAGUACACAUUUCUCGCAAACCUUUUUUCCCCUUUUCUUUUCUUAAUAUAAACAGAAUGUGUAAUGAGAAAAAAACGUCGUUGGGCUUUUGGUUUAGCACAGACCGUCCUAGAUCAUCGGUUAUGUUUUCGAUGCCAGCGAAUCAAUCUUGACUCGGUUUACGAGGUGUAGCCUAGCACGGUGUGUGUGUCAGUCUUGGCACAUUGAGAG